CCUACGGGUGGCAGCAGUAGGGAAUAUUGCUCAAUGGGGGAAACCCUGAAGCAGCAACGCCGCGUGGAGGAUGAAGGUUUUCGGAUUGUAAACCCCUUUUGUUAGAGAAGAAAAUGACGGUAUCUAACGAAUAAGCACCGGACAACUCCGUGCCAGCAGCCGCGGUAAUACGGAGGGUGCAAGCGUUACGCGGAAUCACUGGGCGUAAAGAGCGCGUAGGCGGGUUUGCAAGUAAGCUGUGAAAUCCUAUGGCUUAACCGUAGAACUGCAUUUGAAACUGUUAUUCUUGAGUACGGGAGAGGUAGGUGGAAUUCGUGGUGUAGUGGUGAAAUGCGUAGAGAUCAAGAAGAAUACUCAUUGCGAAGGCGGCCUGCUAG
rnacentral:rRNA from 1 species